CAGAAAUACCCCAGAGAGAUGUCCCCGUCCUCUGUAUUCCCGGGACUCCACACAGGAACAUCACAAGGUCUCACAGAAUUAUCAGGGUGAAGACCUGAUUAUGAUUAAAGUUGAAACUCUAGAUGGCAAAGAGAUGUAUGUGAGGGUACAUGAGCAGUGCGAGGAGGAAGAAAGCCCUCCAGCGAUUGGCACAGAUGGACGUUACGCAUGGACUAAUGUAGAGGAACAUCCUAUGACCUCCCCCGAUGAUGAAAAAGAAGAUGACUGUAUGGCAGAUUAUCCAAUAGACGACUCCAUUCCCCGAAAUCUCCAUCCGG